rnacentral:rRNA from 1 species
GCUUAGAGAGGGGUCAAUGUCCUAUCAGCUAGUUGGUAGGGUAAUGGCCUACCAAGGCUAAGACGGGUAGCCGGCCUGAGAGGGUGGUCGGCCACACUGGGACUGAGACACUGCCCAGACUCCUACGGGAGGCUGCAGUCGAGAAUCUUUCGCAAUGCCCGAAAGGGUGACGAAGCGACGCCGCGUGUGGGAAGAAGGCCUUCGGGUUGUAAACCACUGUCGGGAGUUAAGAAAUGUAAGGGUGUUAAUAGCAUCCUUACUUGACUAAGGCUCCGGAGGAAGCCACGGCUAACUCUGUGCCAGCAGCCGCGGUAAUACAGAGGCGGCAAGCGUUGUUCGGAAUUAUUGGGCGUAAAGAGCACGUAGGCGGCUUUGUAAGUCAGUUGUGAAAGCCUUCUGCUUAACGGAAGAACAGCAUCUGAUACUGCAAGGCUAGAGUACGGAAGGG